rnacentral:rRNA from 1 species
GACGAACGCUGGCGGCGUGCUUAACACAUGCAAGUCGAACGGAAAGGCCCUGCUUUUGUGGGGUGCUCGAGUGGCGAACGGGUGAGUAACACGUGAGUAACCUGCCCUUGACUGUGGGAUAACUUCAGGAAACUGGGGCUAAUACCGGGUAGGAGCUCCUGCUGCAUGGUGGGGGUUGGAAAGUUUCGGCGGUUGGGGAUGGAUUCGCGGCUUAUCAGCUUGUUGGUGGGGUAGGGGAUUACCAAGGCUUUGACGGGUAGCCGGCCUGGGAGGGUGACCGGCGACAAUGGGACUGAGAUACGGCCCAGACUCCUACGGGAGGCAGCAGUGGGGAAUAUUGCACAAUGGGCGGAAGCCUGAUGCAGCAACGCCGCGUGCGGGAUGACGGGCUUCGGGGUGUAAACCGCUUUCGCCUGUGACGAAGCGUGAGUGACGGUAAUGGGUAAAGAAGCACCGGCUAACUACGUG